rnacentral:misc_RNA from 1 species
AGAGAAACGAAUGAAAGGAUGAUUUGAGGCGGUGAAGGAGUUUCUGAAGAGAAUGUGGCGUGCCAGAUGUACGGACGGUUAGAGCAAAGAACACUGUUCUUUUUCUUCUUUUUUCUUUUUUUUCCUUUUUUUUUGUGUGCCUUUCUUUUGUCGUCUACAGGAGCUGCCGACAGUUGCGUCCUCCCCACUGAGUCGGAAGGACGUCAUAAUUAUCACUCUCCGUGUUUACAUGAGUUGCAGCCCCUACAAGAGAAAAUCAGAAGUGAUUUGGAGUGAACACGCCUACUCAGUGGCUACUGAGGGAGAUCUAGCCCGUUUUACCAGCCAAAAAUAAGCCAGAAGAAGACAAAAAAUAAGCAUCCGUGCCUGGGUUUGGUGGUGCCCCCGCCACAAAGCCUGCUGCUUCCCACGUGGGCCCAGCACAAAGGACUAUGCUCGUCGCAGGCACUGUUGAGGUGGAGGUAGGCGUAGCAGCCCUAGAGGACAUGGAGAUUGUUGAGGAGCCUCGUCCUGCACCAUCUGGCAAGGAAAAACACCAGGGAAAUGCUGCUGCUGACCAGAUUCCCUGCCGAGAUGUACCUGCCCCGGCCACCUCGGACCGUAAACAAAGGCGUCGUCUGUUCUUCCCUGUUGGCCAUGGGAAGACAGCCAGUGAGCUUUUCAGCUGGUUUGCUGCCCUGCUGAAACAACACCCAGACCUGCAGCCACUGUACAAGGAGGGACGGAACCAGCCCUAUAUAACGGUCAGUACUGAUUCCUUCUUUUACGCCACCCUGUUGAAUGAGGGUUUUCUGGGCCUGGUUAUGGAGUGCCCUGGUGAGGAGGGCACUCAUCCUGUUAUUAUCCAUGGAGUGGCGAUCCACAUCAAUGUCAACCUGAUAGAGGUACCAGCUGGAUUCCAUGGGCUGAAGAGGGGGAUGGUGGGGCAGAUGCCUAGGCCCCAACUAUUGGGAGUGGUGACAGGCAAGGUGCCCAGUGAGGUGCAUCUCCUGGGCCUUGGACAUCGGCGUGUGGAGCGGUAUAUACCUGAACCUGACCUGUGUCGCCACUGUAGUCGAUGGGGAUACAAGGAAUGGCGCUGCCAGUCUGCCCCUCGCUGCAGGUACUGUGUUGGCCCCCAUAAGUCAGCACAGUGCCUGGAUAAGAUCUAGAAGAGCACCAAAAUCCCUCCUCGCUGCUGCAAUUGUGGGGGUGACCACAACGCCCACUCCACCCUCUGCACUGUCAGGCCUCGGCCCCAAAGGGAACCUGCCACGGAUGAGGUGGGUCGGCCCAGGCUUGUGUUUCGCCAGGCUCCACCUCCCCAGACCAACGCCUGGGCGACGAAGCCCUCCUUCUCGGCCGCUGCCCCUCACCUGUCCCAGCCUUCCUGCCCCACCGCUGGCACUUCAACCACACCUGCCGUGUUCCCACCUUUGCCGCAGCGCACUGCUACAGUGCCCCCUGUGCCUCUAAACACAGUGUCCCAGGCAAGCAUCACUCAGGAACUGCCUGGCACCGACGCUACCCAGCAGCUAAUAGCAGUGGUGAGUGCACUAGCCGCCAGAGUGGACAAUCUGACUGCAACAGUCUCUGGUCUUAGUACCGAGUUUGCCGCCUUCAAGAACCAGCAGCACACAUUAUGCAGUGAGACCUCCACUGUGGCCCCAACCCCAUCCUUAGCCAGCGGGGCUCAACAAGGCCAAGGAGAGAGUGCCGUGUGUCAGCAUAGCCUGUGCGACCCACCCACGAAAAAGGACAAGGCCGCAAGCAAAUGUGCAACUGCUGCUGCACCCACACAGAGGAUGGAUACCCCUUCCAAGCCAGUCAAGGGAGCCACACGACAGCCCGGAGCCUCUCAGGGAUGGCCCCUGCUCCCCCUGCUUCAGAGAGCAAGUCACCUGUGGCAGACUGUGAGGAGGAUAAUGCAGGUGAAUGGACACUGGUCAACCGAAAGAAGAAGCGGUGCCACAGCCCAAUCCCAGUCCGGACUGCCAGCCCCGAGCCGGACCAGGGACCCCUGAAGACUGCCAGGCCCGAGCCAGACCAGGGACAUCUGAAGACUGCCAGCUCCGAGCCAGACCAGGGACAUCUGAAGACUGCCAGCCCCGAACCAGACAAGGGACAUCUGAUGGCAGCCAUGCAGAUGCUGAUGGAGCAGAUGUCUCGCCUGACACAUGAAGUGGAUGGCCUGAAGACACAGAUGCAACACCAUCGCGAUGAACGGAGGUAGGGCCAAGGGUGCCUGAG